ACCCAAUAGAUACCCGGGUAGUCCACGCCGUAAACGAUGGAUGCUAGCUGUGUGGAGUAUCGACCCUCUGCGUAAGCAAAAAGCUAACGCGUUAAGCAUCCCACCUGUGGAGUACGAGCGCAAGCUUAAAACAUAAAGGAAUUGACGGGGACCCGCACAAGCGGUGGAGCGUGUUGUUUAAUUCGAUGAUAAGCGAAGAACCUUACCCAGGUUUGACAUCCUGCUAAUCUUUCCGAAAGGAGAGAGUGCCUUCGGGCCGCAGUGACAGGUGCUGCAUGGCCGUCGAAAGCUCGUGUCGUGAGAUGUUUGGUUUAGUCCAUCAACGAGCGCAACCCCUCGUAGUUAGUUGGUA
rnacentral:rRNA from 1 species